AAACGAUCGCCUGAAUAACGGGCUAUAAUAUGGCUACUUAAAAUGAUUAGAACCAAAGCAAUUUGUCUUAAGAGAACCUUCUGGAAUAAAAGAACUGGCCCGGGACGGGGCUCGAACCCGCAACCUCCGCUUACCGUGCGGUGCGCUACCAGUUACGCCACCCGGACCCCGAGCAAGCCUUCGCUUCCAGAAGUAUAUAUAAUAGAUUAGAUAUAACCUUACUUGGUUAAAUACAUCACUGACUGGGGGCGACUUCAUCGCCCACGACCCUCAAUGGCACUCAGCCAGCUAACGUAACACCCGGCGAGGUAUAUAUAUAUAAAUAACAUCAACAUAAAGCCCGAUUGGUAUACAUAUAAAACUUCCAAACGAUCGCCUGAAUAACGGGCUAUAAUAUGGCUACUUAAAAUGAUUAGAACCAAAGCAAUUUGUCUUAAGAGGUAAGCGUUAGGCGCCAUCUCGUAACUAAAUUAAUAAUUAAAUAAAUAUAAUUAAUUAAAUUAAAUUAAAUUUAGAACCUUCUGGAAUAAAAGAACUGGCCCGGGACGGGGCUCGAACCCGCAACCUCCGCUUACCGUGCGGUGCGCUACCAGUUACGCCACCCGGACCCCGAGCAAGCCUUCGCUUCCAGAAGUAUAUAUAAUAGAUUAGAUAUAACCUUACUUGGUUAAAUACAUCACUGACUGGGGGCGACUUCAUCGCCCACGACCCUCAAUGGCACUCAGCCAGCUAACGUAACACCCGGCGAGG